AUGUUUACAUGUCAGUGGAGAUACCCCAAAGGUGGAUCUCCCAUGACAAGGCCUAUCCACUGAAUUACGGAUUGCUCACCUUUGUGAUUCUCCAAACUCUGGAAAUGCAACUGUAUAACUUGUGGUAGCAGGGAACUGUGUUCACAUUCUCCCCUG
ensembl:snRNA LOC120101387 U1 spliceosomal RNA